GGAGGGUUUCAGCCUGUGGGUAAGCCAAGAGAGGGAAGCAGGUAGCAUGAGUGUUAGGCUGGGAAAGAAAAGCUCACCACAGGCCCUGUGGAACAGGCAGAUGGAAAUGCAGGGGGAAGCACCAUUUCAUUCCUAACCUCCCCUGGAGGUUUGGGGAAAAGGAAAACUGUGAAGCCCUGAAAUGAGCUCAGGCUGUAGAAACAAAUGAGGUGGAGAAAUGAAGAAUCUGGGAAGAAAAUGAAAGCCCAGUUUUUAGGUGGGUAAAAAUUAAGCUGAAAAAGUUGAAGUAAAAUAUCUUCUUACUUUUCUAAUGAAAAAACAGAAAUGAUACGUGUGACUUUCCCUGCUUGGAAGCUGGCCUCUCCUGUCAGUUCAGAAAAGAAGCAUUAAGAGACAACGCCGACCUUGUAACUCUGAGACUACUGUUGCUACUCUGGCCACUCUGUACCCACUGGCUGGGCUCUCUACAGACUCCCUUGUGCCUCUUUUGGGGGUGAAGUGUGCAAGAAACUAGGUCGCUUGGAGACAAAAACAAAGGAAGGAGAGAAGAAUAGAUGUAGUUUUGUGCUGGCUUUUGAGGCAAGGUGAAAAUCACCAAUGAGACGUCUGAGCACAGCCUCCCUGAGGGAAGUGAAGCUGACAGAGGCUGGGCCUUGGACUUCACGUUGCUUGCUGUUCAAUGUAGCACACAGUUUUGUCAGUUGGUUACUUGCCUGUCCUCCCUCUUUGUAUGAUGUUUUCCUCUCCUGAAAUAAGCCUCGACUCUAUUCGAUCUGCAGAACCUUGGCAUGAAGAACAUUUUAUGUUUCUUCUGUGAAGUAAAAAGGCAAGUCUUGUAGACUGAUGGCGAUUAACCAUAAU
ensembl:lncRNA